GACGAACGCUGGCGGCGUGCUUAACACAUGCAAGUCGAACGGAAAGGCCCUGCUUUUGUGGGGUGCUCGAGUGGCGAACGGGUGAGUAACACGUGAGUAACCUGCCCUUGACUUUGGGAUAACUUCAGGAAACUGGGGCUAAUACCGGAUAGGAGCUCCUGCUGCAUGGUGGGGGUUGGAAAGUUUCGGCGGUUGGGGCUGGACUCGCGGCUUAUCAGCUUGUUGGGGGGGUUGUGGCUUACCAAGGCUUUGACGGGUAGCCGGCCUGGGAGGGUGGCCGGCCACAUUGGGACUGAGAGACGGCCCAGACUCCUACGGGAGGCAGCAGUGGGGAAUAUUGCACAAUGGGCGGAAGCCUGAUGCAGCAACGCCGCGUGCGGGAUGACGGCCUUCGGGUUGUAAACCGCUUUCGCCGGUGACGAAGCGUGAGUGACGGUAAUGGGUAAAGAAGCACCGGCUAACUACGUG
rnacentral:rRNA from 1 species